rnacentral:rRNA from 1 species
CAAUAGCGUAUAUUUAAGUUGUUGCAGUUAAAAAGCUCGUAGUUGGAUUUUGGGUCGGGGGCACCGGUCCGCCGUUCCGGUGUGCACUGGUGGCCCCUUCCUUUCUGCCGGGGACGUGCGUCGCACUUAAUUGGGUGGCGUUCGGAGUCGGCGUUGUUACUUUGAAAAAAUUAGAGUGUUCAAAGCAGGCCAUCGCUCUGAAUACAUUAGCAUGGAAUAACAUGAUAGGACUCCGGUCUUAUUUUGUUGGUUUCCGAGACUGGAGUAAUGAUUAAGAGGGACAGUCGGGGGCAUCCGUAUUUCAUUGUCAGAGGUGAAAUUCUUGGAUUUAUGAAAGACGAACUUCUGCGAAAGCAUUUGCCAAGGAUGUUUUCAUUA